AUGAGUUGCGAAUACGUUGUGAUCCCACCAAUGAGUGUGUACAGUGUCCUCGUAGUGAGGUCAUCGUGGUUCCACCGGUAUGCAAACAGUGAGGCUGUGGCUUACUACAAUGUGACAGUGAGGAAAGUAUCCGGGGAACUUAGCAAUCAGGACAGUUUCAGAACUGAAGAUUCAUCUCUCACCAUGAUCCUGUCUUACUCUGCAUACAACAUCAGUAUCAGAGCUUUAAACACUGCUGGAUCAUCUCCUGUUUCCAGUAUAGCCACUGAGCAAAUGGAUGAAUGGAGGGAUUCAUUUGGGCCAUUCAGUGUCAACAUAACCAGCCACAACCAUUUUAGUCUGUCCUGGAAUAUGUCCGCCUCAAGUGUUUGUUACUCUGUGGAGUGGUGGGCCAAAGGACAGAUACCAACUUUUUGUCCAUUCUACGAAAAGCAGACACGCAAAGAAAUAACUGGGAAAACUGAAAGCUGUAGGAGCAAAGGACGUGACAUGUGGCCAAUUUUUCAGCCAUAUACAAGAUAUUAUUUCGUCCUGCACACCAGACCGUACCCAGACACCUGCCACAUGAAGAAUUUAAACAACAGUGAGACGACCUAUGGCACAGCCCAAGCUUACUUCACUGAAGGAAGUCCUAUCAGUGCUCCUGGGAAUGUGAGCAUUUUUAAUAUUACCCGGCAUUCCUCAGUAAUCACAUGGUGCCCCGUGUCUGAGGAAGACCUGCGUGGAUUCUUAUUAGGCUACUACAUCUACUUGAUGUGGGACAAUAAUGAAACAUGUGAGUAG
ensembl:lncRNA